UAAAGAAUUUCGGUUAUCGAUGGGGAUGCGUUCCAUUAGUUAGUUGGCGGGGUAACGGCCCACCAAGACGACGAUGGAUAGGGGUUCUGAGAGGAAGGUCCCCCACAUUGGAACUGAGACACGGUCCAAACUCCUACGGGAGGCAGCAGUGAGGAAUAUUGGUCAAUGGACGAGAGUCUGAACCAGCCAAGUAGCGUGAAGGAUGACUGCCCUAUGGGUUGUAAACUUCUUUUAUAUGGGAAUAAAACAGGGUAUGCAUACCCUCUUGUAUGUACCAUAUGAAUAAGGAUCGGCCAACUCCGUGCCAGCAGCCGCGGUAAUACGGAGGAUCCGAGCGUUAUCCGGAUUUAUUGGGUUUAAAGGGAGCGUAGGUGGAUUGUUAAGUCAGUUGUGAAAGUUUGCGGCUCAACCGUAAAAUUGCAGUUGAAACUGGCAGUCUUGAGUACAGUAGAGGUGGGCGGAAUUCGUGGUGUAGCGGUGAAAUGCUUAGAUAUCACGAAGAACUCCGAUUGCGAAGGCAGCUCACUGGACUGCAACUGACACUGAUGCUCGAAAGUGUGGGUAUCAAACAGGAUUAGAUACCCUGGUAGUCCACACAGUAAA
rnacentral:rRNA from 1 species